CAGUAAAUAGUUUAUUAAAAUAUUAAUUUUGGAGAUUAAAGAUAAGUUUCUUACUUUUUACUGA
rnacentral:tRNA from 1 species